rnacentral:rRNA from 1 species
UACGAAGGGUGCAAGCGUUACUCGGAAUUACUGGGCGUAAAGCGUGCGUAGGUGGUUUGUUAAGUCUGAUGUGAGAGCCCCGGGCUCAACCUGGGAAUUGCAUUGGAUACUGGCAGGCUAGAGUGCAGAAGGGGCAACUGGAAUUCUCGGUGUAGCGGUGAAAUGCGUAGAUAUCGAGAGGAACACCUGCGGCGAAGCGGGUUGCUGGGCUGACACUGACGCUGAUGCGCGAAAGCCAGGGGAGCGAACGGG